rnacentral:rRNA from 1 species
UAGCUAUUUUGGAGAGGGAUAAACGCUGAAAGCAUCUAAGCGUGAAGCCCCCCUCAAGAUGAGAUUUCCCAUUUCUUCGGAAAGUAAGAUCCCUGAAAGAUGAUCAGGUAGAUAGGUUUGGAGUGGAAGUGUAGCGAUACAUGGAGCGGACAAAUACUAAUCGAUCGAGGACUUAACCAAAA